CUGAAGAGUUUGAUCAUGGCUCAGAUUGAACGCUGGCGGCAGGCCUAACACAUGCAAGUCGAACGGUAA
rnacentral:rRNA from 12 species